rnacentral:tRNA from 1 species
UGGGAUGUAACUCAGUGGGUAGAGUCCUUGCUUAGCAUGAGCAAGGCCCUGGGUUCAAUCACCAGCACUUCAC